CUGAAAAAAUUGGUUAAGUCCACAGAUUGUUAAAUAGAGAAGAGGAUACAAUGCUUUAUUCAUAGAAAAAGAAAAGAGUUACCAGGCAUGAUUCUAUGCUUCUCUCCCUCUUGUGAACUUUGGCAACUCAUCCGGGAACCUGGACUUGUGUUCUCCAAGGAGAAGCCCAAAGCCAUGUGCAGCUACUGAACACCUGAUAUGUGGCCAAAUUGAGGUGUGCUCUCAGUGGGAAACACAUACUGGAUUUCAAAGACUUAGGAGGAAUGAAAGAAUGUAUAAUAUCUCUAUAAUAAUUUUUAAUAUUGAUUCCAUGAUUAAAAUUACUGUCGUGUUUCUUUUUACUUUUUAAAAUGAGGCUCCUAAAAAAUUUUUAAAUUAAAUAUGUGGCUCAUC